CUGCUUUGGAUUCCGUGUCUCCCUCUCUUGUGCGUGCGCUCUCUCUCUCUCAAAAAUAAAUUGAAAAAAGAGUUGGAUGCUUAACCAACUGAGCCAGCCAGGUGCCCCUGUUUCUUACAGUUUCUAAUCCUCGUUCUCAUUGUGUAUGGUUCUGGUUUGUUCAUUCUCAUUGCUGCAUCCCAUGAUUUAUCUAUUUUACUGUUGUUAGACAUUUGAGUUGGUUCUAAUUGUGUGAAUGCUGUGUAUGCAUCUUUUGGUGAAUAUGGAUAUACACCACGGUGUGAAAUGUCUGGGACAUAUGUACAUACUCAGUUGUACAGGAUACUGUCAAGGAGUUUUCCAAAGGACUUGUACCCUUGACACUCCCACGAGCAGGAUUGGCAAGUUCCAGGUCUUCCACAUCCUGGCUACACAUGAUAUAUCCUGUCAUUCUUGUUUUAGCCCUUCUGGUGGAUUAAAAUGGUAUUGUAUUGUGGCUUUAAUUUGCAUUUCCCUGAUGACAGAUAAAGCUGAGCAUCAUUUUUACGUGCUUACUGGCCAUUUGGAUAUUCUCUUUUGUGAAGUUUCCAUUCAAGAUUUUACUUUUGUCCAUUUCUUCUAUUGAAUUGCCUGCCUUUUUCUUACUGAUUUCCAUUUCUUUGUUCUGGCUAUGAGUCCUUUGUUAGAUAUAUGUGUUAGAAAUACUUCUCCCACUCUGUGGCUUGCCUCUGUGCUAGGUUACUUUUUAUGCGAAGGGGAAAUAAUUUUAUAACUAGCUCAGAUGUUAACAUAAUCUUUGUUGGCUGUCUUUGCCAGAUUUUAUAUAAAUCAUAUGUGUCAGUCUUCUUGCAAUUUUUUCUCUUGAUGGAUGAUGUCGUCAUACUGGUGUGCCUGAAGAGUAUAGGAUUUGAGAGAGAGGAAAUCUAGUGAGUUUUUGUAUUUUUGUUAAACUUUAGUUUUAUUAGGUUAUUAUUUAAGACUUGGCUAUUUUUCUUUUCCUUUGCUGUGCAAGUUAAGGUGCGUCUACGUGUGGUGCAGACGCUGCGGGUUGCUUACCCUGCUUUCAUUCUCCUCUCUCUGCUAAUAGAAGCUUCAUUUGUUCAGAGCUGCAGUGUGCAUAAUAAAAGCUGCUUGCUGAUUUAUGACUCUUUGAAAUUAGGGUUGGUUAUGUGACAUGUUCUGCCAGUAGCCCAUGUAGGAGAGGUCUGUUGGGUGGGAAUUCCAGGAAAGCUGUUGCUUUUCUAAGAGAAGGGAACAGACUUAGCCGGCAGACAUCAUCUACCCGUCCUGCAUUCCUUUCUGGAAAGCGCUCCUGAGUCUCCGAGGCUUUGCCACUGUCCUGCAAUCAUGACGAUGAGAGAUAGGCGCUAAAGAUGGCAGAGUUGGUCGUGGGUGGUGUCGUGGGGUCAAAGUAUAAGCCUUGGACUGCUUUCUUAGGUUGUCCAGAGAAAGACGGAUAGGAGAUGGAGAUCUACUUGUAUUUACGCAGGCUGGAAAGUUCCAUGAUUUGCUGUCUGCAGCUAGAGACCUGAGAGAGCUGAUGGUAGAAAUUCCAGCCUGAGUCCAAAUGCUUGAGACCCUGGAAAGCCAAUGGUGUAAGUUCUAGUCUGACGAAAGGAGAAGACCAAUACCCUAGUUCAACAAGUGGGGCUGAGAGAGGGAGCCUGUGUGAGCAUGCUCCCCAUGCCUUCAACUGAUUGGACAAGGCCCACCCACACUGCGAGGAGCCAUCUGCUUUACUCAGUCCAGUGAUUCAGACAUUAAUCUCCUCCAGAAUAAUGUGGGUUUUUUUUCCCCCCAGGUUUAUUUAUUUUGAGAGACAGCGCGCGUGCUAGAGGGGCAGAGAGAGAGAGCGAGACAGAGAAUCCCAAGUUGAGCGUGGAGCCUGAGGAGGGGCUCAAAGUCACGAAACCAUGAGAUAAUGACCUGAGCUGAAACCAAGAGUCAGACACUUAACUGACUGAGCCACCCAGGUGCCUGCAUCCAGAAUAAUGUUGAACCAGACAUCUGGGCACCCUGUGUACCAGCCACGUUGACACGGUUACGCAUCACAGCGGUCUUCCUCGUGGCCUCUUGUUUUAUGAGAGGAGUAUGGGGUAAUUUCCCGGUUCAGGGUGUUUCCACAUAUGUUGCUGAAUUCAGCGCCUAAGAAGUACAGACAUUACUCAGAUUUCUUGGCUUACAAAAUCAAGACUUGUGGCAGGUAUGUGACGGUGCUCUAGGGGUGCGCCUGCCUGAGCUGCAGUCAGGUGGGGCUUUGCCACAUCCUGCUAAGACAGAAAUGGCACCCGCGUUCCUGUGCGUGAGUCUGUGGAUGUGGGCCCCCGGUCAUCUCAGCUGCAGAAAAGCCCUUCAUCCAACUGAUGUUAAAGGCAGUUCAGAGACCACCGGGUGCUGGAGACCCAGAGGAGUGCUUCUGGCCCAGAGGGGCAAUUCUGUCACCUGGCUUAUUAGACGGAAGCAUCUAGCUCUUGUCUCUCUCUGGUGUUUAUCCCCAGGUCUUUGUUAGAGUAACAAACGGCUUUGAGAGGGAAAAGUCCUAAAUACUUGUUACUGAUGUGAAAGAUACUUGAGAAGGUACGUGCUUGUGACUUCGUUAUUUGGGGCAAAAUCAGCUUUGAUUCCCAUUAUGAGUCUGGGACUCACAUUAUGCCCAUGUGGGCCUAAAAGGUACUUGUGGCUUUUUGUCCUUUAUACAGUUUUUUAAUAAUUUUUUUUAACGUUUAUUUUUGAGAGAGAGAGCAUGAGUAGGGCCACCUAAUUGCUGAAGGAGGAAUGGUUCCGUUCGGCAGUUUUCCACGCUUGGAGAACCAGUGUCCUGCUGCCACUCGGAGAUCACGGCAUCGUAGGCUCGUGCCGCCUCUUCUGGGGCCUGAAUCCCGGCUCUGCGGGUCCCGCCAGGCGCCUGGGGCGCCCACUGGGUCCUCUCCUUGAAGGGUUGACUCCCUGCUCCACAGAGCACCUCCUUCAUGCUUCUAGGUCUUAACCUUCCCCCGCCUUUGUUUCCCUGCCCUGAGUGGUAGCUACCACUGACCGAGCCUGCUUUCUUAUUAGCACCUUCUAGUGUGUUCUAGAAUGUACUUUUUGUUUUCUCCUUCCCUCCACUCACAAUAGAAUAGAAAUCUCUGCGGGCCAGGGAUUCCACACCUCUGGUUUGCUGCAGAAGUGAGGUGAGAAGGAAUGAGCGGAUGGUCCUCCAGGGGUGAUUGCAAGACUUUGGGAUGAUGCCAAGAUUCUUGCCCGAGCCCUGGACGGUUGGAGUUGCCUGUGGCUGAGCCGAGGAAGGAGACGGUGGAGCAGGUUUGGAAGGGGAAGGUCAGAGUGUGAGCUCUGGCCAUGCUAGCAUGUUAACGUUUUAUUUAUUUUUGAGACAGAGAGAGACAGAGCAUGAACGGGGGAGGGGCAGAGAGAGAGGGAGACACAGAAUCGGAAGCAGGCUCCAGGCUCUGAGCCAUCAGCCCAGAGCCCGAUGCGGGGCUGGAACUCACGGACCGCGAGAUCGUGACCUGAGCUGAAGUCGGACGCUUAACCGACUGAGCCACCCAGGCGCCCCCAUGCUAGCAUGUUAGAUCAUCUCCAGGUGGAGACGUUGACAGGAAGAUGUCCAAGCUCGGGGACACGGGGAUAAACACAGGUGUCGUCGGCCCCUACACAACACUUAAAACUGUGAGAGCAGAGGCCAGCUACCGGAAGAGUGGGGGACGGUGAAGGGGAGAGAACAGAGCCAGGACGGGCCGAUGCCGGGGCGCCAGGGAGAUGAAAACUACCGAGGAGGUUGGAAACCGGAGCCCCAACUGACUGUCAUGAGCAGGAAAACACGGGAGGACGCCAUGUGCUGGCAUUCCAGAGAAGGACGCAAGGGGACCCACUGUGUCGUGUAGCCGACUAGAAUGGUGUUUGUCUGAACUGGAUUUCCCUCCCACCCCGUUCCUCGCUGCCUCCUGAAUCCAAAACCCAAGCGUUGAGGAAGAAUUUUCGUCUCUCAUUCCUCGUAAACCCAACUGGGCUCAAAGCGUGACCCGAUGGACGUCAGACCAGAUUUGAAACUACGUUUGGUGGCGGCCGUGGGAUCCAAAGAGGACUUCAGCCAGCUUCAGGGACAAGAAACAGAGACCUGGUACCUGCAAACCCCUUGAGUUCUCUCUGUCACCAUCUCUGAGGGCCCUGGGUAAGUACCUCUCGGUUUCGAGCUCUGCCCUCUUGGCCUUAAGCUCCCCAUCGAAUCGGCUGCCCAGUCCAGCGGUAACAUUGGGUUUGGACUCCCAGGAGGUGCCGGGCGAGUCCUCAGCCCUUGCUUACUCUGCAACCCCAGUCCAGGGCCUAGCCGCUCAGCCUGAGCUGGCAGGUGGUUCCACCUGGAACCUGAGUCCCCAGCCCACGGCGCCCACGGUUGACGUGCGCUCGUUCAGUCCACAGUUGUGUGCUGGGAACCACGGGUGGUGCGCACGUAAGGCCUUGUCACGGCCAGUCCGCAGUAUCCUCUCCUUGCUCACUGCGGGUCUGUGAGCGUGCACAUGAGGUAAAGGAAUAAUAAAUCUGUUGUUAAUGGGCAGCUCAGAAACCAGAGCUGGAAAGUCGGUGGGCACCUAAAAGCUGUUAGAGCGCGUGGCCACCCAACUCGAUGACCGUUAGAAGCUGGUUACGGAAUGGCCUAGAUGGACACUAGGUCACCCGCCAAGCUCAAGAAAAUUUCCACCCAGUGAGGUACACGGUGGAACACCGCAAGAUUCCCAGCCCAGCGGUACGUCCCUCUUAACUGUCAACUUGUCUCUGACAAACCUAAGGCUUAGGCGACGAAAUGAGAUCCUCCGGUUCCAAAGAAUUGAGUGCGCCCCCUUUCGGCACAACUGCUUUUAUGUCUAAGAAGUAGGUCCCAGAAGCUGUACGUGACUACAAAGACGGCAAGAUGUUCAUAAAGCAAGCUAGAAUCACCAGGGCUGUUGUGUGAAAGGAUUUCAGCCUAAAAUGAAACCGGAAGAAAUGAAACGGAGAAGCUCAUGCCUGUGUCCUCAGGAGAAGGGAACUGAAAACUGGACCGAUUUCCUGGAAGGGCCUGAUUUACGGGAGACUGAGACUUCUCUCCGGCAUAGUGAACAUCUGCCCGGAAUGGCUCCUGUCCUCAAGCCAGUGAACUUACUGUUGGACCACGGACGCUGCCAGGAGAGACCGCCUUCUCCAAAGUACAAGACCACUGUGUAAGGAUAAGGCGUGGACAGACGAGCAAGUUUCACAGCAGCUCACUUGCCACCCACGAGACGAUUCCGUGCAACAAGGGACACCAGGUCAUAGGUCAGACAAGUAGGGCAAAGGCUGUCCUCCGUGAAGAGGACGUUUCCCACGAAAGGCACACUGUCAAACAAAACCCAAGUCCGCACCCUAAGUAUUCGGUGCUCUUGGGAAGACUCUAAAGAUGGGAUCCCAGGCAUCUCAAUGCUCUAAGGGUGACCCUCACCCCAAAACCCCAGUGGUUUUAUGCUAAAAAAAAAGUUACGGUCUCUCAUGCACACGGACCGGCAGUAUUGAAGACAACUUGGAAUUGCAGUGGUCAUUACAAGGAAUGUUCCAGUUAGAUAAGUUCCCUCAUUUAAGAAGUGCACUUGAAUGCAAGGAUUCCCAAAUGAAACAGAACGGGUUACCUAUUUCAGUCAGCAUGCAGAAGCCUCCAGAAGGCUUCAAGAUCCCCAAACUGCUUCAUUGAAAGAUUGAUUGCAAAAGGGUAAUGAAAAGUUAAAGACCCAAGAGGUACCUAAAACGAGACCAUAUGACUGCAGGGACUCCUGGAACUCCCCUUUAUCCUCCUCUACACCCGAGUACUCAUAGUAUUAAUCCUCUGUCUGAAUGGUCCUUCCACCCGGAAGAGACUACAUGACCACACUCACACCAGUCUGUCAAAGGAGGGCCCCCAUACAGGCCCCUCACAGGAUUGACAGGAUUCUGAGGGAUUCUCUUGUAACCACUACCAGUCCUUCCUGGAACAGCUAAGGGGAAACUAAAAUUAAAGGGACCCCUUGUCAAGUUCGGGGAGAUGCACAACUUAUACUCUGUACUUUGAACCCCACUUGCUCCAGAGCCCAAGAUGGGAAUCCUGGAAAAAGAAGGGCGAGAAUCCCUACCUGAGUUUGCUCUCCCAAGUUACUGUGGCCCACUCGAGAGAGGAAGGUAAGAUUUCACGUCCCUUCCUUCCCAAUUCCAGACCCACAGCUUACUGACCCUUUCCCUCCCAGGGGCAGCUGUUGCCUUCCUGUGUCCUGGGGGCUGGGCUUGGCAACCAUUGUGUUGGGAACCCCAGUGUGUGGUCAGGCAGAAAUGCCGGCUGAACUCCGUUUCCGGUUGGGGUUCCAAUGCUUACUGCCAGUGCUUGGGAAUUGGGCUGUCUUUGUUCUGGUCAUCUUUGGGAGUGGCUCUAGAUCUCGAGAGUAGUGUUGUUUGUGCCCUCUCUGAGGACACCUUGUGUGUCCACGGCGUUGUUCCAUACUACCAGGAAUAUUUACGGUUUGAGCUCAAACCUGACAAGAUACGAUUUUAAGUAGCUCUUUGGUCAGAAGUUGGCCAAAUUGAAAGCGCAUAGUCACCAUCAGAGCCUAAUGGCAAUUUCUUUGGGAACUUUCCCCUCUAGGCCAAAAUUAAACUAUGUACCCAGAGGUAAAGAAAAACAUUCUGAAGCAUUACUAGAACAAGCCAGAGACAAAGGUGUAAAUGGAGAACAUGAGGAAUCAUUUAAUUUCCAUCCUAGUUGAAGAUCUCCUUGAUAUAAAGAAGCAAACCAAAGAUAAUGUAGCUGGGUGGGUGGGUUGGCCUGUGUUGCAACCCAAUUUCCUGAGGAAUUAAAAACAGGGGUCCCUGUCUUAGAACAAAUCAAGUCUUGAUCAGAACAAAGGUAGCUGUAGUAGCAACGCAAAUCCCACUUACCAUUUUUACCAAUUUCCAAACCUUCUCCAUUCAUUUCAAAAGGCCUACAGGUAUUUUAAGAGAUCUGGAUUUAAGAAACAAAGCUCUUCUUGGGAAUGUUCUACUUGCAGGAACUUCGUUGAUAGGUCCUCUCUUUGAAAUGCAAACUUCAGGGAGGUCAUUUGUAUCAGACAGGGGUUGGGGUGGGGGGUGGAAAGGCUAUUUGGAACUUAGGCCAAUGAACAUCUUAAAUGUCUUCGCUACAGAUGCUUUGGCUGUCUGAGCAGGUAACCUGAAAUUAUUCCAACUGUUCUGUUAGUAAUGAAUGAGUUUUGCAUGAUCAUACUUGUCUCGUGGCUAAAAUUUAAAACAAAAGCGAUUAGGAUCUCUAUCCACCUGUGUGUCUAGGGAUUGAUGUUGUAAAUGCGUGACAUUUUUCUGGCUCUGGGCGGUAUUGCUAAACUUAGUUUGUAAAAGAGUUUUAAUUAAUUUGCUUAAAGAGAAGUACUUAUUAAAUGACGUAUUCUAAAACUGUCACAAAUAGAAAAACAACACACAUAUUUUUCAAGUUCAGGUGACCUAGGAUAAAUCCUCAGUAAAUAAAGGCUCAGGUUUGUAGGUUUAAUUAAAAUAGUAAUGUCUUCAGAGUUAUCAGCAUUAAAUAUAACGUAGGAAACAACUUUUAUUCUACCCGUGUUUACUAGUUAUUUAAAUUCAUGUCAUCUCUGUUACAAAAUUUGUUAGCCAGAAAGAUAACUUAAGAUGUUGGCCAGCUGUUUAAGGUCUUGAGAAAUUUUCAUGACUAACAAACAUAAUCGUUAAGAACAAGUGAACAGAUACAUAUUGGUCACAGUCUAGAAGUUUUUCACUGGGUAGAAGCUUUUUUUGUCAACAAACUGCCAGUUUGGUAGCAAAAAAAUUAUAUGCAGACAUCAUCCCUACAUGUAGCGCCUCCCCCUGUUUUGCACAGUGACCUUGGAAGUCAUUUUCCUGGCCACGUAGUCCUUUCUCCACCUCAGAGGCGGCUUUGCCAUAUCGUCCUCAACCUCCGGGACUAGUAGAAAAGACUAACAGCAUCACUCAAACCCCAUUAGGAAAAUUCUGUGCCACUUGGGAAUUUUCCUGGACCAAGGUGCAGUCACUGGUCCUUCUGAGUCUAAAGAUUGAUGUGACUCUUACUGCUUCCCCCCACCCUCCUGUGCCUUGGAGGACUCGUGGUCCGCUAAACCUCUGAACUGCCUUUCUGCUCGGAAGGGACUACAUGACCAUAGCCAAAAGUCUGCCCAGUUACUGGCCUCAAACGUGGGCCUCUGUACGAGUCCUUCUCAGAGCUGACGGAACUCAGGGCUUUUCUGGGAACCUGCUACCUAUUACUCUAUUAAACAGCCAAUGGGAAACUAAAAUUGAAAUUUAUGGAAAGCCUUGCCCUGUUCUGGUAGCCACCAGGGCUGUACGCUCCGCUUGCUUAGGAGGACCCUGCAGGGGAGGUCCUGGUGAAGUGGCAGAAGCGGGCAAAGGGUGGGGAUCCUCACCAGAGGCACCUUUCCUCAGUCUCUCUUGUGCCCACUUGAGAGACGACUGUGAAGUUUCAUAUUCCCUUCCUUGCCUUAUCUAGACCUAUUACUCUCCAGGGACGCCUGUAUUCCUUUUGGCCAUCUUUGGGAAUGGCUGUGCAUCUCAGGAGGGGAGUAUGCUUUGCACCCUCUUUGUGGAUGCCUUUGCAUCCACGGGGUUCAUACUGCCAGGAAUAUUGAGUGUCCCACCUGAAACGGGACAGGACAUAGGAAAGGAUUUGUAAAAUAGCUCUGUGGUCAGAUGUUGGUUACAUUGGAAGCUGACAUUCAGAGCCUGACAGAAACUUUCUUUUAGAUCUUCCCCUCUAGACUAAAUGGAACUACGUACCCAGAGGGAAAGAAGAACAUCUCAAAGAUCAGCAGCUCUAAAUUAGUAGAAACCUAAUGAUUUCCAUCUUAGAGAAAGAUCUCCCUGAGAUAAAGAAGCUGAAUAUAACAUAACAGGAAGGGUGGGUGAGACUGUGAUGUCACUCAGGCUGCAACCCAAUUCUGAGAAACUAAAAACUGUUGUCUUGGGGUGCCUGGGUGGCUCAGAUUGUUAAGUGUCUGACUAUUGAUUUUGGCGCAGGUCACGAUCUCACAGUUCGUGAGUUCAAGCCCCACAUUGGACUCUGUGCUGACGGCAUGGAGCCUGGCUGGGAUUCUCUGUCUCUCUCUGCCCCUCCCUACUCGUGCUCUCCCUCAAAAAUAAAUAAAUGUUAAAAACAAACACCUGUUGUCUUGCAACUCAAGUCUUUGCAAGAACAGAAAUGUAGCAAUUCAAAUGGAAGCAAUUCAAAGCCCACCUAUCAUUUUUACCAAUCCCCAAACCUCCCCUUAUCCAUCUCAAAAGGCUUGUGGGUAUUGUCAAAUUCUGGCCUUAGGGUAACAAUAUUCCUUCUUCACCGAACUUGUGUUCUUUCUCUGUGGCAUAGAGAUGGAAGUGUCAUGUUUGGUUUUCUCUAGGAAUCAAAGUUGUUCUCAUCAGAAGGGAAAAACUGUGGGAGAGUGGUGUUCUCCAAGGUGGAAAAUGUUGUCUUCACAAGUAUCAGUGAAAAGUUGAAGUCCCCUUGACUCACCCUUUUACCAGAAGCAUGAUGUGAAUGUGAUCCUCUUAUAAAUGGACCCUUGAUUGUUUUACUCUGAUGAUUCUGCAAAACUGAAACGCAUGGAAAGAACCCUACCAAGAACUCUGGACCGCUGACAUUCCUGCCAAAUUAGAAGGUGUUGAACCCGGGGUGCCUAUGUCACAACUGAGGAAGGCUCCAUCUGACUUUGGGUCCGGUCCAAAAGCCGGAGACCUCAAACUCAAAUGGACCAGCAAGAGAGGUCGACUGCUUCUUCCCAAGAUGGGGGGCUUCAAUCCAUGUUCGCAGCCAUUAACCACCUAGCAACUAAUCCCCCUAAGAACAGAACUUCAGAAAAGGAACAAAGAGAAUGACCAACGGCAAGAACGAACCUGAUGUCAUGACCCGUGAAUACCACACAGACAUUUGGCAAAAGACCACAAGAACACCCGAGCUUUAGAGGGAAGCGGCCCUAAUGCCUUAAGUUGUGAUCCCAUCUCUCAGGCUGAGAAUCGGAUCAAAAGGAAGGACAUGUUGAAAACAAGAAAAUAGGCCCCAAAUGGAGUCACUCACGCUAAGGUCCACGUCACAGAACAGACUUCACCGCACUUCGGCUCUCUCAGAAGUGGAGUCUUAAACCAGUCCGUCAGGAAUCCGCUGACCAGUUAGGGCGUCUGCCUGACAGACCCCUGCCAUUCCCUAAAGGAAAGUGACUUGGCCAUAUCCAACCGAUUUUUGUCUAGUGGAGCCUCCUUGUUCCCUCUCCCUCCUGGCUAUAAAAGUCUCAUUUUGCCUGGUUCCUCUGAGCUCCUUUCUUCUGCUAGACAAGAGGCUGCUUCAUUCAUAAAUUGGUGAAUAAAGCCAACAGAAUCUUUCA